GGGCGAUUAGCUCAGUUGGUUAGAGCGCCACGUUGACAUCGUGGAGGUCACAAGUUCGAGUCUUGUAUCGCUCA
rnacentral:tRNA from 1 species